AGCCUGAACGCUGGCGGCGUGGCUAAGACAUGCAAGUCGUACGGUGUAGCAAUACACAGUGGCGAACGGGUGAGUAAUGUAUCGCUAAUGUACCCCGGACUCUGGGAUAGCUGCCUGAAAGGGCAGGUAAUACCAGAUGAUAUAACUUUACUGCAUGGUAAAGUUCUCAAAGGUCCGCCGGUCUGGGAGCAGGCGAUAUCGUAUCAGCUAGUUGGUGAGGUAACGGCUCACCAAGGCGACGACGCGUAGCCGGACUGAGAGGUUGGCCGGCCACAUUGGGACUGAGACACUGCCCAGACUCCUACGGGGGCUGCAGUAACGAAUCUUCCGCAAUGCACGAAAGUGUGACGGAGCGACGCCGCGUGUAGGACGAAGCCCUUCGGGGUGUAAACUACGUGUCAGGGGUUAGAAAGUUCUGAUCAACCCCAGAGGAAGGCACGGCUAACUCUGCGCCAGCAGCCGCGUAA
rnacentral:rRNA from 1 species